UCGGCAGAACGGGGUUCCGCAGGCGAGCACCACGCGGGAUCAAAAGGGUUCUGUACAGUGUUCAGUGUGCGGAUACUUUAACCAUGAGGGCAAGAAGUGUAGAUUUAAAAAUGCGUCGUGCAAGUUGUGCGGUGUUAAAGGGCAUUUAAUGCGCGUUUGUAACUCGAAGAAUGUCCCAUCUAAUCACCAUUUCCUACAAUGUUGCACGGAUGAAGCCGAUGAGGUGUUCUCAGAUGCAGCAGUACCGUGGCAGUAGGAACAUUAAUUUUAA